UGACAGAAAUCUUUAUUGCAAACUGGGGGACACCAUUAGCUACAGUGGCCUCCUGGGAUCACCAUUUGCAAUAUAAGCCCAGUGACUUAAAGGAGAGAGUGGAGAGGAAUCAUGGUAAGGCUUGUAACUCCAAGGAUGAAGAACAACCAGGGCUUGGGGAUGGGUGAAGAAUCUUCUGAAGAAGUGACCUGGCUACUCUUAUAAAGCCUUCCAGAAUGCAGAGGGGCCCUGGGAAGAGCUGGAGGAGAGAAGAGGAAGAAGGAUGGGAGACGGAAGAUUCUCAGUUGGAAAAAAAAACAGCAGCAAGAAACUUUGUUUACCUUGUUGGUCAGAUUAAAUUUCUGCCACCAAAAGAAAUCGAGAUUGAAAAGCUAAGUUUAAUUAUGGAGAAAAUAAAGUUACAUUUUUUUUUGCACAACAAAGUCAUUGACUAUGAAAUUUAUAAGCAUCAUAUGAAACAGACAAUCUUAUGAAACUUACCAAGGAUGUUUCCAGCAACCCCUUGUUUAGGGAACAGAGUAAAGGGGAGAAAAGGUAGCAUUUUCAAAUCUCAAGAAAGUGUUUUAUGUCAGAAUUCAAUUUGUCCCAGAGCACAGCUGUCAAGAGCUUUGUAAAUCUAGGCCUCUAGGAGGAGAGGGCUAAAGCACUUUCAGGAUAAAGGCUAGAAGCCUAAGGCCCUGAUCAUUUGGGCAAUCCUUGUUAUUGCAUUUGUUGUUCCAUUCUCUGACACUUCUAAAAGGCUGUGGAAUCUCCAGAUGUGUUCAUAAAAUAGUGGUAGCAAUUAUUCAUUGCUUCUAGGAAAGGGAAAUGGAUAUGUUACCAACAAAGCCAGUCCCCAUACAAAUGG